AGUGAACGCUGGCGGUAGGCCUAACACAUGCAAGUCGAACGGCAGCACAGUAAGAGCUUGCUCUUACGGGUGGCGAGUGGCGGACGGGUGAGGAAUACAUCGGAAUCUACUUUUUCGUGGGGGAUAACGUAGGGAAACUUACGCUAAUACCGUAUACGACCGACGGGUGAAAGCAGGGGAUCUUCGGACCUUGCGCGAUUGAAUGAGCCGAUGUCGGAUUAGCUAGUUGGCGGGGUAAAGGCCCACCAAGGCGACGAUCCGUAGCUGGUCUGAGAGGAUGAUCAGCCACACUGGAACUGAGACACGGUCCAGACUCCUACGGGAGGCAGCAGUGGGGAAUAUUGGACAAUGGGCGCAAGCCUGAUCCAGCCAUACCGCGUGGGUGAAGAAGGCCUUCGGGUUGUAAAGCCCUUUUGUUGGGAAAGAAAAGCAGCAGGUUAAUACCCCGCUGUUCUGACGGUACCCAAAGAAUAAGCACCGGCUAACUUCGUG
rnacentral:rRNA from 1 species